GGCGGCGUGCUUAACACAUGCAAGUCGAGUGCGCAGCUUUCUGUAGCAAUACAGGAAGUCGGCGCACGGCGCACGGGUGCGUAACACGUGGGCAACCUGCCCUUUGGAUGGGGGAUACCCCCGCGAAAGCGGGACUAAUACCGCAUGAUAUUCAGAAGACCUUGGUCUUUUGACUCAAAGCCCGCAAGGGCGUCUAAGGAGGGGCCCGCGCCCGAUUAGCUAGUUGGUGAGGUAACGGCUCACCAAGGCUUUGAUCGGUAGCCGGUCUGAGAGGAUGGCCGGCCACACUGGAACUGAGACACGGUCCAGACUCCUACGGGAGGCAGCAGUGGGGAAUAUUGCGCAAUGGGCGAAAGCCUGACGCAGCGACGCCGCGUGGGGGAUGAAGCUUCUCGGAGUGUAAACCCCUUUCGACCCGGACGAAUGACCC
rnacentral:rRNA from 1 species